AUACGGAGGAUGCAAGCGUUAUCCGGAUUUAUUGGGUUUAAAGGGUGCGUAGGCGGAUGAUUAAGCGUGAGGUGAAAUGCCACUGCUCAACAGUGGAACUGCCUCGCAAACUGGUUGUCUUGAAUGCUCCUGCCGUGGGAGGAAUGUGUGGUGUAGCGGUGAAAUGCAUAGAGAUCACACAGAACACCGAUUGCGAAGGCAUCUCACGAAGGGGUGAUUGACGCUGAGGCACGAAAGCGUGGGGAUCAAACAGGAUUAGAUACCCUGGUAGUCCACGCAGUAAACGAUGAUUACUAGCUGUUUGCGAUACAAUGUAAGCGGCUGAGCGAAAGCGUUAAGUAAUCCACCUGGGGAGUACGUUCGCAAGAAUGAAACUCAAAGGAAUUGACGGGG
rnacentral:rRNA from 1 species